rnacentral:rRNA from 1 species
UGGCUCGGCCUUACAACAACAAACAAGUUUGACCUCAAAUCAGGUAAGAUUACCCGCUGAACUUAAGCAUAUCAAUAAGCGGAGGAAAAGAAACCAACAGGGAUUGCCUUAGUAGCGGCGAGUGAAGCGGCAAUAGCUCAAAUUUGAAAUCUGGCACCUUCGGUGUCCGAGUUGUAAUUUGAAGAAGGUAUCUUUGGUUUUGGCUCUUGUCUAUGUUCCUUGGAACAGGACGUCACAGAGGGUGAGAAUCCCGUGCGAUGAGAUGCCCAAUUCCAUGUAAAGUUCCUUCGACGAGUCGAGUUGUUUGGGAAUGCAGCUCUAAGUGGGUGGUAAAUUCCAUCUAAAGCUAAAUAUUGGCGAGAGACCGAUAGCGAACAAGUACUGUGAAGGAAAGAUGAAAAGAACUUUGAAAAGAGAGUGAAAAAGUACGUGAAAUUGUUGAAAGGGAAGGGCUUGAGGUCAGACUUGGUUUUACCAGGCCAGCAUCAGUUUGGAUGGCAGGAUAAUAGCUUAGGAAUGUGGCACUGCUUCGGUAGUGUGUUAUAGCCUGGGUUGAUACUGCCUGUCUAGACUGAGGACUGCGUCUUUGACUAGG